rnacentral:rRNA from 1 species
CGGAACGUGCCUAGUAGUGGGGGAUAACUACUCGAAAGAGUAGCUAAUACCGCAUGAGAUCUAAGGAUGAAAGCAGGGGACCUUCGGGCCUUGCGCUACUAGAGCGGCUGAUGGCAGAUUGGGUAGUUGGUGGGAUAAAAGCUUACCAAGCCGACGAUCUGUAGCUGGUCUGAGAGGACGACCAGCCACACUGGGACUGAGACACGGCCCAGACUCCUACGGGAGGCAGCAGUGGGGAAUUUUGGACAAUGGGCGAAAGCCUGAUCCAGCAAUGCCGCGUGUAGGAUGAAGGCCCUCGGGUUGUAAACUACUUUUGUACGGAACGAAAAGCUCUCUUCUAAUAAAGGAGAGUGAUGACGGUACCGUAAGAAUAAGCACCGGCUAACUACGUGCCAGCAGCCGCGGUAAUACGUAGGGUGCGAGCGUUAAUCGGAAUUACUGGGCGUAAAGCGUGCGCAGGCGGUUAUGUAAGACAGAGGUGAAAUCCCCGGGCUCAACCUGGGAACGGCCUUUGUGACUGCAUAGCUAGAGUACGGUAGAGGGGGAUGGAAUUCCGCGU